UUCCCUGCCAGUCAGUCAGAACUGAAGAAGUCCUUUGGAUGAGGGACGAAACGUCUUCCAGUAUCUUCAACCAAGUCCAGUUGCCCUUGAUUUCAACCUUCGUUGGAUUACUUUUGUAUUACUCCAGUGGUGUAAUACUUGAUUACUAUAUGAAAAUACUUUUUUUUUUAUGUUUUACAGUUGAAAAUGUCUCUCUGGAGGAUAUUCUUGUUUUCUUCACUGGAUGUGACAGCAUUCGAGUACUGGGUUUCUCUCCGAAGCCAAGCCUUGAGUUCAUCACCCACUCCCGAUUUCCAGUGGCCAAUACUUGCGAAAAUAUUCUUCGCAUACCAGUUUAUGCAGUAUACAUUGACUUUAAAUCUAACAUGGAUUUUGCCAUACGCAAUUCACCAGGAUUUGGAAGAGCGUGAGAGGUAAUAUUAUGGAGGGCUUGUGGAGCUUGAGAUAUGAUGAGGAUAUAUUUGUUUGUUUUUUAGUGCAAGGUUUAUUUCCUUCUGUUAUUCCCUAAGACAAAAAUUAAGCAUAAAGACAAGAAAAAUGCACAGUAAAACAAGUAAGUUUCAUUUGAAGAUAUAUUUCAAGCCAUGUUUUUCUGUUUCAGAUUUAAUAAGGUGCGCCAUGUAAACUUGUUUUCAGUUGAUAAAUGUGAGGCACUUUUUGUUGCAUUUUUGUCAGCCAGUCCUCUAACCUGAGAAACCAUAUGCUGUUUGUCUCCACCCUCUGAUACGACCCAUAACAGCGUUUGAUUGAUAAAAUGCCACAGAUAUGGAUACAAUGUCGGAAAUGCCUGUUGCAUUUGGGCUAUGACAAUGCCAGGGGUAAGGCUUGGUUAAGUUUGGUCACAAAGCCAAUUUGGGUAUGGUUGUGAAAAGAUCAUGGUAAGGUUUAGCAUGAGAUCAUUACAUGAUAAUUGUCCGAAUGGUAAAAAUAAUAAGCACAGUUAUGGUUAAUAGUGGUCAGAUUUGGGGUUGAAGGCUAAAUGUAGCUAAACCACUGUACUUAACUAUUGGUUGUAAAAAAACAGGUUGCUCAAACAACCCAUUAGCAAAUUUUGUACAGGAGGAAGGCUCACUGUAGUUACUUUUAUCAGUGUUGCCCAGCCCCAUUGCUAUGGCUCAUUAUUCAUUAUAUAGGUUGUGGUAUGGCCUUCUAACAAAUAAAUUGUUCUGUGUUCCUACUUUGUGUGUACUGGCUUACUGUCCUUUUAGUAUGUAUUGUGGCGGUAUAUGUGCAUCCCAGGCUUUAAAUGUAAUAUUUUUCCAUUGGAUACUUAGAACUACAACUGACAAAAAAACAAAAACAAAACAAAAAUAGGGUUCAUCGUCAUCAAUAGUGUUACAUUAAUACGUUAUGUAUAAAUGAUACAUAAUGUUAUACACAGCGUGAAUUUAUAUGGUGAUAACUGCUAUGGGUUUUCAUGAAAGAAAAAUGUAUUAUAAGCAUUUAUGCAUCUUCUGUCAUACGACCUGUAGACCUAAGCCUAACCCCUGUAUAACUUCUGAUGAACAGCAACAAAACUACAUAUAACAAAACUAAAUAUUUCUUUGAAGCAGGUGUGCUGUGAUAAAAAGUUCAAUUCCAUGAUUUCCAUCGUCAAUCAAGGGAUUUAUUACCCUUAACUCAAUGUCCCACUGGUCGUGAUAGGGGCGUUGCAGAUGUACAUGAUGGAGUCUUUGAUGUUGAGGCAGUUGGAGCAUUCCAACUGUCCACAGUUGCAUUGGGGACCUACUUUCCAUUGUCCUUAAGCUGUGGUGGUUCCACUGCCUCACAAACUCGUCCACAGAUCUGUUAAUUCUUGGAAGGUAAACAUGGUAAAGAGCCCUAAUGUGAAGCGGGUCAGUGCUAUCUAAAAUCCCAACAUUUUCCAUAAAGAGGAAAAGGUCUUUGAAGUAUGCUGACACCACCCUGUUUAGUUCUCCCCACAAUCUUUCAAUUCUUUGAUUAUGAACACUACGUCCAACCAUAAAACUUCCCAUGUUUGCCCCUCGAUUCUCAAUCAUAAACCGUGCAUUAUCAAUAUUUUCACUACCAGCAUCACUCCUGACAUGAUGAAAAGUUGCAAGGCAGUUGAUGCUCUGUUGUCUGUGCAACAUCUCAGGUAAGUAAUGCAGCGGCUAUAGCCAUCAACUCCUCCAUGAAACACAAAUCCCCAUGGAUUCAACUUGUGGUUUGUGUCAAUAUGCCUGGAAUAAGAAGACUUUUUAUUAUUAUUAUUACAAACAACUUGGUUGCUCAUCAAAUUUUUACUUUUUUUUCAAUGCUGUCCUAUUUUUUUCUAUCAAGAAGGUAAUUUUUGCUUGAUUAGAAAAAUGUUACAACCCCAGAGAUCAUUGAUAGAAGUGUUCAAUAUAAACAAAUAUAAGUAGCACUGUACAUUACAGUUCAGUAACAACACUGUAAUAGUGGAGUAACAGUUAAUUAAAACUUGAUAUUAAAGGACUAAGUCGUACCAUUGAGCCAGACUACACAGAAACCAAAACAAGUGUUUCCAAAUGAUCAUUAUGCCUCUUGAUGUUUGGUGUAAUCUAAUAACAGGUAGUUUAGCAUGUCACGGCCCUGAUCCAUGGUUAUUACACAAAAACUACCAUCAAGAGUUUCCAUCUAACAAGUCCUAUCAUUGAAGAUAUCAUUUGUAUUAUCUUGAAACAAAAGAGAACAUUUGAAACAUAAGGGAGGAUGAAUUUCAGCUGUAUAAUAUGGUAAUUGCCCAUUUGGAAUUUCCAUGUCACAUGAAAAAUGUUUGUUUCAAGGUAAUACAAAUGAUACCUUUAAUGUUGUCACUUGUUAGCUGGAAACACUUGAUGGCAGUUUUUGUGUAAUAACCAUGGAUGCUGAUAGUAGACUAUAAUAUUAUGAAAAUAUUAACCUAUAUUACUGUAUUAUCUGGUUAUUACUCCAUUAUUGUCACCAUACUAGCAUUUUUUAGCCAAUAAUGCACUGAUAUAUAAGAAUUUUAUUUUUAGCUGGUUACCGUAUUGUUACCAUAACAUACUAUACUAACUAGUUGUGUGUUGUUGAAAUCAUUAAAUGUGAUUCACUAUUAUUACCCGGUUACGUAACUUUCAGUCUUAUUACCCAGUUAAUAAGAAGAUAUUACCUAGUUAUUAAUUUAGUAAAAACAUGGUAUUACUUAAUUGUGUUUAUUAUCACACUAUUACCCCAUUAUUUCUAUGCUUACCUAACUGUCAUGUAAAGUGCUAAUGUAAUGUUUUUUUCAUAUAAAGACUUAUGCCAAGAUAGUUAAUUAUUUAAUUAACAUAGUUUUGGGCCUCCUAAAUCCAUACAUUUACUUUCUAACUUGCUUUAUUCAGCAGCUAGGAAGUAGCCUAAUUACUGUAAUGUUAAUAAAAUUUUCACAACACAUACCACACUUGAUUUGGGACAGAGACAUUGUAGACCCUCCGUUGAAUUGCCCUCCGUCCUCUUAAGGCUCUUCCCACUGGGUCUACUCUUCUUAAUCGCUCGCACACUCGCCAACGCUCAACUCUGAUCCCUCUCCCUCUCAAAACACCAGUGAUGUAAGUCUCUCCUGAUCCAGGGGUUUGUCUAAGAACUUCAGUAAUAAGACGAUCAAGAUCAUCAUUUGAAAUGUUAGUAAAACUCCCAUAGUCCAGUAAACCAAGUGUGUGUGUGUAUAUACACACACAUACACACACACAAAAAUACAGUGUGAAUAACUUUCAAUAAAAACACGUCUUGUAUAUUAACUUUUUUUUGGUUUAUGCAAAAGACAUCACACAUAUAUUUAUUUCUUGCCUUACAACGCCUUUCAAAGUCAAACUUGAGAGAAAGAAUAGCCAUGUUUUUUUAUCCAAUGGCUGGAUAGAGACAUCUGUCAAUGUCAAGGUCAGACAUUGCUUGAAUAAUAAUUAAGUUGCUAAAUAAGCUUAUUAAUAAGCUGUUUGUUUAUAUUAAUGUGUCUAUACAUUGGUUAUGAGUGAGUAAAGUAAAAUGCUAUCAGUAAAAAAUGCUUUCAAGGCAUUUGCUCUAUGCGCAGCAUUGCAUCAGUCACAACACAUCUCAUUGCCACUGACUACAUCACGACAGGACUGCGUUCCAGGGGGGAAAUUGUUUCUGCUCUAUAACCAGUAAGAGCUUCUUUUUUUGCAGUCAGAAUGGCCCACGGCUGUUUUAUAAUUGUUAGGUUAUGAAAGCAAGGAGAAGUUGGAGUGGUGGAAGAUAAGAACAUCAUGGCUGACACAUUCACUCCAAUUUUCUUAGUUCAGAGAAGGACAGCGGACUGGGAAGAAAAAAGAGAGUGCGGACAUAAAACACUGAGAACAUUCGUAUGCACACGAACUCAGUUACCACAAGUGAUUAAAAGGGAAAGUGAGAAUGUUUGCAUGGUUCAAAGUCACUUGAUUUCCUUAAUAACCAAGUUAACAGGGAAUUAUUCAAUAAAGGGACUGACGUCAAGAACUUGUCCUCACUUCUCUGUAUUUGGCAACCUGUAUGAUAUGCACAGUUUGAAAAACAAAUGUUAAAAUCAUAAGAUUCAAGUGAGGCAAAAAUAUAGUUUAGAGGCCCUUGAUGAUUUUGGGACUGACAAGACACGCUUAGGAAAGCAAAACAGUUCCAGUGUAGAAAAAUUAUUCUAAAAGCCAGGUGCAUUACAUCUUAAGAAAUAGUUUUAGCAUGUAAUGUGCAAUAUAGGACUAAAGAAUACAACACAAUCAUGGUUUGUCUUUGUCUUAAAUCAAAAUGAUGAGGACCAUUUGAGCUCUGCAAUUCUUAAGGGGCCCUGUUCUCAUGGCGGUGCACAUGUGGGAGAAGAGGCGCAAACAAGAGGGAUGUUCGUUCAAAAAAGGCAAUGAAAAAUGGCUUUAGACUUUGUACUGAGAACAGAUGUCUCAGAAGCAUGUCUGUUUCUGGCCCAACAUCACUUCCCUGCCAGUCUGGCAACAGGACAAACUAAAUACUUGGAGCAAAUGUAUAGCAAUGUCCAAUGAUUAAAUACAGCAUAACAUGUAAAUAAACCAUUUUAAUUAAACAAUCUCCAACCAGUAGCAUUUAUGUUGGUAUUAAAAAUAUUAUAAAGCAGGAACGAGUGUAAACAGUCGGCAUUUGUCAUUAAAUUAAAAUGAGAUGAUUGUUACCCAACAUGGUAAGAAUCACUCAUAUUGCUCCACAGCUGCUUUACACUAAUAAAAACUUCCUGUUAGGAGUGUGGUUUUGUGUUCAUGUUUUAGUCUGUUUUUGGUUCCGUGUUUCUCUGCGAAGCCUUGUUUAUUAUUUUUAUUCAUUCACAUGUCCUAGUUUACUUGGUAUCUGUUUUCAUGAGUUUGGUUUUGGAUUCUGUGUUUCUAUAGCUUUAUUUGAUCUUGUCAUGUUUAGGGUUUUGUAGCUAAGUCUAGUCCUUUGUUCAUUCACAUUUUUAAGUUUUUAGUAUCUGGCUUGUCUCGUAUUCUAGUUAUGUCCUGCAUUCUUAUCCGUGUCUUAGUGUCUACUCCUGGUCUGUGUACUUCGGUAUUAUUUUGUCCAUGUUUGCUCUGUGUUCCGUUUAAUCUUAGUUCAGUCUGUUUUCCCUAUUAGUUGUAGUUUUUGGUAUAUUAGUAAUCUGUCUGCUUAUGUUAUUUAUAUUCUGUUUCUUCCUGGUUAUUAUUUGUUUCCCUAUGGCCUUAUUGGGGUCUGUCUGUUUCCCCUGCUGUCUCUCUGCCUGCCUGUGUCUCAUUAGUCCUGAUCCCCCUCACCUGUGUUGCUCCUGCCCCGCUCGUUAGUCCCUGUAUGUAUAUAUGCCUGCUUGUGUCUUCAGUCUUUGUCACAUCCUUGCGUCUGUGCUGAGUGUUCUGUCCCUGUGUUUUUUGGAUUAUUUUGUGGAUUUUACCUGUUCUUGGAUUCUGUUUUGUUUGGAGUUACCUUUUGUUUGAACAUUCGCCACUGAGCUCCCAGUGUAAGCCUACUUUACUUGGUUAAUAAGUCUUUGUUGGACUGCUAUUCCCUCGGUUCUGUCUGCAUUUGGGUCCUCUGUUUCCUGCCGCUGCACUCAACUACCCCUGACAUCCCCUUUAGUUCACUAAAUCCUCGUCCACUGUCUUAUAUUUUUGUUUUGAUAUUGUGUGAGUCAUGACUGCUGAUAGUUUUGUGUUGACUGCUGUCUGUACAACAAAUUGCCCCUUGGGACAUUAAAGAUAUCCUUGAUCCUUUACCUUCAUUAAACAUGGUCAUGACUCCAGGCUGCUAUAAAAUGACCUGACACACAUCAGACUGGUCAGCUAUACUCCGAUCAGCCAUAACAUUACGACCACCUACCUAAUAUUGUGUAGGUCCUCUUUUUGCCACCUACAGUAGCUCGUCUGUUGGAUUGGGCCACAUGGGCCAGCCUUCACUCCCUAUAUGCAUCAAUAAGCCUUGGUUCACCACUUUUCCUUCCUUGGACCACUUUUGACAGGUACGGACCACCGCAGACCGGGAACACGCGACAAGAGCUGCAGUUUGAUGCUCUCAUCCAAUCGUCUAGCCUCAAAUACUUAUGCUUGCCCAUUUUUUCUGCUUCUAACACAUCAGCUUUGAAGACAAAAUGUUCACUUGCCGCCUAAUAUAACACACCCACUGACAGGUCACAUGAUAACAAGAUAUCAGUCUUAUUCACAUCACCUGUCAGUGGUCAUUAUGUUAUGGCUGAUAACUCAGUUAUCAGUUGUUUAUGUAGGAGAUUUCUGUUGUGGUACUACAGAAUCGUCUCGGGUUACGUAUGUAACCCUGGUUCCCCGAGAAUGGGAACGAGACACUGCGUCGGUUACGACACUAUGGGAACGCAUAGUGUCGUAACUGACGCAGUUCGAGUUCCCUCGAAGGGGAACUCCCCACUACCUUGUGUUCUUUUGUUCCCCCCUUCCCUGUGUUUUCUGUCUGUCCUCCCUGUCUGUGUUUGUCUGGGCGUGGCUACACUCUCUGGCUCCAGCGGCGCACCUGGUCCUUAUUCCACUAAUCAAGCUCCUGCAGUAUUUCAACCCCAAUCCUCCUCACAUUCUUCGCCAGAUCGUCAGUUAACCACAUGUGGAUCACACUACCUCCGGGAACCCUGCUGAACGCCGCACCCCGCUCUGCUCACAUCUUGCCUGGACUAACUCCCCUCCUCCUUGUUCUCCAUUCUGCCCUGUUGGAACCUACCACCCAGUCCUCCGUUGUACCUUUCAAUAAAACCCCUUUGUUACCCCUUCGAA